rnacentral:rRNA from 1 species
GAUGAACGCUAGCGGCAGGCCUAAUACAUGCAAGUCGAACGGUGUUUUCGGACAUAGUGGCGCACGGGUGCGUAACACGUAUGCAACCUACCUUACAUUGGGGGAUAGCCUUUCGAAAGGGAGAUUAAUACCGCAUAAGCCAGUAGCUGGGCAUCCAGCAGCUGUUAAAGAUUUAUCGAUGUAAGCUGGGCAUGCGUCCAAUUAGCUAGUUGGUGAGGUAACGGCUCACCAAGGCAAUGAUUGGUAGGGGAACUGAGAGGUCAAUCCCCCACACUGGCACUGAGAUACGGGCCAGACUCCUACGGGAGGCAGCAGUAGGGAAUAUUGGGCAAUGGACGCAAGUCUGACCCAGCCAUGCCGCGUGCAGGAUGAAGGCGUUAUGCGUUGUAAACUGCUUUUAUACAGGACGAAACGACUCUUGCGAGAGGCAUUGACGGUACUGUAUGAAUAAGCACCGGCUAACUCCGUGCCAGCAGCCGCAGUAAAAC